rnacentral:rRNA from 1 species
UACGGAGGAUGCAAGCGUUAUCCGGAAUGAUUGGGCGUAAAGCGUCCGCAGGUGGCAGUUCAAGUCUGCUGUCAAAGACCGGGGCUUAACUUCGGAAAGGCAGUGGAAACUGAACAGCUAGAGUAUGGUAGGGGCAGAGGGAAUUCCUGGUGUAGCGGUGAAAUGCGUAGAGAUCAGGAGGAACACCAAUGGCGAAGGCAGCUCGCUGGGACGGUACUGACGCUGAGGCGCGAAAGCGUGGGGAGCAAACAGG